GUAAAGUUUACCUCCAGGUAUAUAUUCUCUCAUUUAGCUGUGUGGCCAAAUAACUAGAUGUAAGGAAGGCUUUUCUCUGUUUUCCUGCUUAUGCUUUUCCUACAUGCAUAUUUUUCUUAAUCUUGUAGAUGCAGGAAGGAGAACAUUUUAUAGAACAUGUCUGUGUCCAGUCUUCUACUACUCUGCCUUCACAUCAUCUAAUAUCUUUAUGCCUAGAAGCACAAGGAUUUUGCUGUCUACUUCUUUCUUUUCCCUUGGACCUCCCAAGAUGACUGAGCUGGCCCCAUUCCAUGAGGAAAGGAGAAUGGGAGAAAUGCCUCCACAUUCUGGAAUCCUGAGAGCUAAAGGAGUCUGCAGUGCUGAAUCUUCUAGAUACCUGAACCCUAUGUACUUUUAAACAUCCAAACUGAAU
rnacentral:lncRNA from 1 species